UCAGGUGGCCGCAGAGAAUAGGCCCAAGCGACUGUUUACCAAAAACAUAGGUUUCUGCUAAGUCGCAAGACGAUGUAUAGGAGCUGACGCCUGCCCGGUGCUGGAAGGUUACGGGGAUCUGUUAGAGUAAUCGAAGCAGUGAACUUAAGCUCCAGUAAACGGCGGCCGUAACUAUAACGGUUCUAAGGUAGCGAAAUUCCUUGUAGGGCAAGUUUCGACUCGCACGUAAGGCGUAAUGAAUUGGGCAGUGUCUCAACAACAGACACGGUGAAAUUGUAAUUCCGGUGAAGAUGCCGGAUACCUGCGACAGGACGGAAAGACCCCAUGGAGCUUUACUGUAGCUUGACAUUGGGUCUUGGUACUACAUGUA
rnacentral:rRNA from 1 species